rnacentral:rRNA from 1 species
CGGGGAGCACCACAACAGGUGGAGCCUGCGGUUUAAUCGGACUCAACGCCGGGAAACUCACCAGAUAAGACAGCUGAAUGAUAGUCGGGCUGAAGACUCUACUUGACUAGCUGAGAGAAGGUGCAUGGCCGUCGUCAGUUCGUACUGUGAAGCAUCCUGUUAAGUCAGGCAACGAGCGAGACCCACGCCAACAGUUGCCAGCUCGUCCUCCGGGAUGGUGGGGACACUGUUGGGACCGCCUCUGCUAAAGAGGAGGAAGGAAUGGGCAACGGUAGGUCAGCAUGCCCCGAAUUAUCUGGGCUACACGCGGGCUACAAUGGGUGGGACAAUGGGUAUCGACACCGAAAGGUGAAGGCAAUCUCCUAAACCCAUCCGUAGUUCGGAUUGUGGGCUGCAACUCGCCCACAUGAAGCUGGAAUCUGUAGUAAUCGUGUCUCAAAAUGGCACGGUGAAUAUGUCCCUGCUCCUU